GCGAAAUUUUUCCCAAAUCCAAAAUUAAAGAUUUCCCUUCAAUCCAAAUCCAGAUUUUUUUUUUGUGUUUUAGGUUCUUCUCCGGCAAACGUUUCUUGCGAGUUGGCGGCGACUUAUUAUCUGGUUGAAUUAUCAAUUGUUUUUUGAUUUCUCACCGAUUGCAUUCCCGUCUUUCCUGGUGAAUCUCAGGUGCAAAUUGGUUCACAUUCGGUCACGUUUGAUUAACUUUUCGAAAAUGGGGGAACACCAUGUUCUCGGAUUAUCGACGAAUCUGUUGCCCUGACCCUUUGGUUGAUGCUCUGUGCAAGGGAUACAGUGGAACAAUCCUCGCUUAUAGACGGAUAGUCGCCAAAAGAUGUGUAGCUUGAGUUGGUGUGUCCAACAAGAACUGCACCCUAUAGACGGAAGAUGGAACUACUAUUGUGCAUUAACAAACACGGCCAUGCUAAACCAACAUUCUCCCAAUAAUUGAAGCAAGGGACAAAUUUCCGGAAAGUCGGGCAAUGAUCGCUGUAGAAUCGAACAUCAGGUAGACAAAUCAACUCAACAAUCGCUUCAUCCAAAACAUCGAGCGCACCAGAACUGUGUAGGUUACAGUAAACAGGAGCAAUCCUGUUUGCUGCAACAUCAACCAAUUCCCAUUGAGAGAAUUUAGCAGCAAGUUGGAUUACUUCAAUUUCCAAAAUGGUGAGUCCAAGGAAGACGUGAUCACGCUUGAACACACAUUCUGAACAUCAUUCAAAAACCAGUGUUCAGCGAGGCAACAAAGUUCUAUGUAUGGUAUCAUAAAAGUAUACGAUGUUCUAAUUUUAGUGUGUCGAUUUGUAAUUAAAAGAAGUACUAUAUGAUACAUAUACUUGUUUUUCUAUUGUACUUUUUCCUACUGUGUUGACGACAUUGCAUAUGAUUUAAAGUUAAGAGACA